AGUUCGCCCAUACAGCGUCGCUGUGCAUGCUAGCGUUAUUUUGACCCGUCCCGAGACCCAAGCGUGCAACGAGAGCUCACAGCUGAUAUCGCGCACGUCGCGUACGUCGCAGUAGUUGAUAGUACAUACGCCGUAAACGUCACAACGAAAAUGAGUCUGAAGCCGAAGACAUAUAAGCAGAAACGCUCGUUUGAACAACGUGCAGCCGAUGCAGAAGUAAUUAGAGAACGACAUCCAAACAAAAUUCCUAUCAUUGUGGAACGUUUUUCUGGAGAGAAUCAACUGCCACUUCUGGACAAGACUAAAUUUCUGGUGCCAGAUUUCCUGACUGUGGCAGAGCUUGUUAGAAUAAUUAGGCGUCGAUUAGAGCUGAAUCCGACGCAAGCAUUUUUCCUAUUAGUAAACCAGAAGACCAUGGCGAGUGGCAGUACAACCAUGGCUGAGCUGUAUCAACAUGAAAAGGAUCCAGAUGGUUUUCUUUACAUGGUAUUUGCCAGUCAGGAUGUAUUUGGCCAUUAACCAGAGAGAUGAUGCCCCUAAACCAAGUAAUACAAACUACAGUUAUAACAAUGCGCAUCUUUAAUUAGGCUGUGAGACAAUGUAACUGAUGUAAAAUUACAGAUCUGCUAGCAACUCUGUCUGCCUUUAAUUGAAUGUGCAGAAUCUUUGUGAUCAACUGACGGUACCUGCUGGAAUAAUUAACAGAACAAUCAUAUUUGGAACCUAUGUAUAAAAUCAUCACGGUGCUUUGUACCUUUGACAUAUGGACAUUAAUUAUAUUUGACAUAAGUUAGUGUAGCGUUUGCUUAGUUCACUACUAAUAACGACAGUUUCUAUUGUUAAUUUUAGGGGUGAUAGGCUAUACAACGGUAAUAGUAUAUAGACGUUAAAGGUGUCAUGUGUAAAUUUUUUUUUAAUGGAUAAGGAUUUCAUGCGGGAGAUUAAUUUUUUCUCCUGUUUUUAGUCAUUUAGUACUUUCAUAAGAGUCUACGGUCAUACUAGUAAGUUUAAAAUAUGUUCUCUAUUCGAUUUUACUGUUAUUUUAGAGAUAAUUUAUGUAAUAGUAGGCCAGUGUUACUUUAUUCAUGCCAAUUUAUAUACAAUUUGUGUCAUUACGAUAGCUUCAGUGUGUAACGUUCAUUACCGUUAUUCCAGUUAAUCUAAAUACCGAAACCUAAAUCAAAACUGGCACAAUAUGUUCAUGAGCCAAUUAAGCUGUCAAUUAGUUAACUGUGUUUGUCAGCUCUGACCAAACUUUCAGUUUCUUUUUGGCAUUUGUGGUUAUGUCGUGCUUUCGCUUGUUGCCAACAUAAUCCCCCCCCCCCCCAAAAAAAAGUGUCAUCUCAAUGAGAAUACCCACUUACCAUAAUAAUCUUCAUUAAGUAUUAUUUUUACCACUACAAUGCUAAGACAUUGACGAAAGUGUUCAUGUACAUAACAAUAUACAUGUAUGGUGAUAUGCGUUAAAUUCUCGCGAAAUUACAUUUACUAAGUUUUACACAAGAUGUAAAAUUGAUCUCUGUCGAGUGUCACGAUAUGCAACAAAGAUAAUUAAGUACUAUUAACUAGCAGAUAAAUAAAUUCUUCAGGACGAUGUUUUUAAGAUAAUCCGACGUUAAAUGUUCCCCGUCUUCAGAGAGCUCAUGCAAUAACGCUAAAGUGCAAAAAUUUGUUAAGAAACGAGCAAGAAAAAUCAGAACGACUGCAUGAAUUUCUGAAGCUUUCUAAACAUCGGAUAAAGAAUAAUUACAUUUGUACACUGAUACUUGUAGUAUCUCCGAGCUUUAAUUCCAGUCGAUGCUAGUUCAUGUACACAUUACUCUACGCAGCCAUUUAAUGUAAUAGUCACGUUUAUGUAAAUAUUCAUCGACAUUGUCUCUUGCAUUAUACUGCGUAAUCGGGUGAAAUUUUGUCGUGUUUCGGACGACAACUAGAUUUGUAGUACACUAUAUGGGUACUACUAAUAUGAUACUACUCUCUGCAGCUUAAUUAUCUUUUUCAUUUGUAUACGCAUGUAUCAUAAUUUUUAUGCGUAUGUAUUGCAUAACUGACACAUCGUAUAGUCAUCGCAAAGAGCAGAACGAAAGCAGAAAAACGGGAUAUCUAUUUGACCACGACUCAAAUUGUGUCCUGAUGAUACGAGUUCCGUUCAUUUGAACAGUUGCACCUUCUACCUUUACAAAUGAAAUAGAUAUAUAUUUGAGUUUUGGAGAGAGAGAAAAGAGACAAGAAACAAAGCGUCGAAUGUGCAGCUAAAAAGUGAACAGACCUACGAUCAAUGACGACAGUAGUGAUACUAGCAGUAGUCACAUUAUAUUUAGCUGUAAAGCUUCCGUGAAAGUAUACGCGGAAAGCUACAUGUACCCCACAUUGUACGAACUAUUUGCAAUAAACUAAUUUUUU